rfam:Nelumbo nucifera unplaced genomic scaffold scaffold00140, whole genome shotgun sequence
GAGAUAAGAGGCAGUCAAGUUAGCCAAGGAGAUUGCCUAUGAACCACAAAAGGGGAUUUUAAGACCUAUCACAGUCCUUUUGUGACACCCUUAGGGAGGAGUACACAGGCAAAUCAUCCUUGGCUAUCAAACAGUCUCUCAUCU